CCUACGGGAGGCAGCAGUGAGGAAUAUUGGUCAAUGGGCGCAAGCCUGAACCAGCCAAGUCGCGUGAGGGAUGACGGUCCUAUGGAUUGUAAACCUCUUUUGUCGGGGAGCAAGGCCCGCCACGUGUGGCGGGAAGGAGAGUACCCGAAGAAAAAGCAUCGGCUAACUCCGUGCCAGCAGCCGGGGUAAUACGGAGGAUGCGAGCGUUAUCCGGAUUUAUUGGGUUUAAAGGGUGCGUAGGCGGAAGGUUAAGUCAGUGGUCAAAUGUGGGUGCUAAACACCGGCCUGCCGUUGAAACUGGUCUACUGGAGGGAGCGAGAGGUAUGAGGAAUGUGGGGUGGAGCGGUGAAAUGCAGAGAGA
rnacentral:rRNA from 1 species